UCGUGCAGCCCUAUUGCCCACUGAAGCUAAGAAGGGUUGAGCUGGUCAGUAGCUGGAUGGGAGACCUCCUGGGGAAACUAGGUUGCUGCUGGAA
rnacentral:rRNA from 1 species